AGAUUGAACGCUGGCGGCAGGCCUAACACAUGCAAGUCGAACGGUAACAGGAAGCAGCUUGCUGCUUCGCUGACGAGUGGCGGAACGGGUGAGUAAUGUCUGGGAAACUGCCUGAUGGAGGGGGAUAACUACUGGAAACGGUAGCUAAUACCGCAUUAACGUCGCAAGACCAAAGAGGGGGACCUGUCGGGCCUCUUGCCAUCGGAUGGCCCAGAUGGGAUUAGCUAGUUGGCGGGGUAAUGGCCCACCAAGGCGACGAUCGGUAGCUGGUCUGAGAGGAUGGCCAGCCACACUGGGACUGAGACACGGCCCAGACUCCUACGGGAGGCAGCAGUGGGGAAUAUUGCGCAAUGGGGGCAACCCUGAUGCAGCCAUGCCGCGUGAGUGAAGAAGGCCUUCGGGUUGUAAAGCUCUUUCGGGUGUGAAGAUGAUGACGGUAACACCAGAAGAAGCACCGGUCUAACUCCGUGCCAGCAGCCGCGGUAAUACGGGAGGGUGCAAGCGUUAAUCGGAAUUACUGGGCGUAAAGCGCACGCAGGCGGUCUGAUAUAGUCGGAUGUGAAAUCCCCGGGCUCAACCUGGGAACUGCAUUCGAAACUGGCAGGCUAGAGUCUUGAGAGGGUGGUGGAAUUCCCAGUGUAGAGGUGAAAUUCGUAGAUAUUGGGAGGAACACCAGUGGCGAAGGCGGCCACCUGGCGCGGUAUUGACGCUGAGGCGCGAAAGCGUGGGGAGCAAACAGGAUUAGAUACCCUAGGUAGUCCACGCCGUAAACGAUGAGUGCUAGAUGUCGGGGUACAUGUACCUCGGUGUCGCAGCUAACGCAUUAAGCACUCCGCCUGGGGAGUACGGCCGCAAGGUUAAAACUCAAAUGAAUUGACGGGGGCCCGCACAAGCGGUGGAGCAUGUGGUUUAAUUCGAUGACAACGCGAAGAACCUUACCAGCCCUUGACAUCCCGUGACACUUCCAGAGAUGGAAGGUUCCCUUCGGGGACACGGUGACAGGUGCUGCAUGGCUGUCGUCAGCUCGUGUUGUGAAAUGUUGGGUUAAGUCCCGCUAACGAGCGCAACCCUCAUCUUCAGUUGCCAGCGGUUAGGUUGGGCACUCUGAAGAGACUGCCAGUGAUAAACUGGAGGAAGGUGGGGAUGACGUCAAGUCAUCAUGGCCCUUACGAGCUGGGCUACACACGUGCUAAAUGGCGCAUACAAAGAGAAGCGACCUCGCGAGGGGAAGCUAGAUCUCCAAAAGGCGUCUCAGUUCGGAUUGGAGUCUGCAACUCGGGUGCAUGAAGUCGGAAUCGCUAGUAAUCGUGGAUCAGAAUGCCACGGUGAAUACGUUCCCGGGCCUUGUACACACCGCCCGUCACACCAUGGGAGUGGGUUGCAAAAGAAGUAGGUAGCUUAACCUUCGGGAGGGCGCUUACCCUUUGUGAUUCAUGACUGGGGUGAAG
rnacentral:rRNA from 1 species